CUCUAUUAUUCAGUGCAAAAUGGA
rnacentral:miRNA from 14 species